rnacentral:rRNA from 1 species
GAUGAACGCUAGCUACAGGCUUAACACAUGCAAGUCGCGGGACCGGCGCACGGGUGAGUAACGCGUAUCCAACCUGCCCUUCACCACGGGAUAACCCGGCGAAAGUCGGACUAAUACCGUAUGGUGAAGAGUGGGGAUGCGUCCGGUUAGUUUGACGGCGGGGUAACGGCACACGGGGGCUACGAUCGGUAGGGGUUCGGCUGGGGAGGUCCCCCACACUGGAACAGAGCCACGGUCCAGCCUCGUACGAGAGGCAGCAGUGAGGAAGAGUGGUCAAUGGUCGUAAGCCUGAACCAGCCAAGGAGCGUGCAGGACGACGGCCUAUGGGUUGUGAACUGCUUUUAUGCGAGGAUAGGUACCGCAUGAAUAAGGACCGGCUAAUUCCGUGCCAGCAGCCGCGGUAAUAC